CAGUCGCCACGGUAAUACGAAGGGUGCGAGCGUUAAUCGGAAUUACUGGGCGUAAAGCGUGCGUAGGCGGUGAGUUAAGUCUGCUGUGAAAUCCCCGGGCUCAACCUGGGAAUGGCAGUGGAUACUGGCUCGCUAGAGUGUGUCAGAGGAUGGUGGAAUUCCCGGUGUAGCGGUGAAAUGCGUAGAGAUCGGGAGGAACACCAGUGGCGAAGGCGGCCAUCUGGGACAACACUGACGCUGAGGCACGAAAGCGUGGGGAGCAAACAGGAUUAGAUACCCGCGUAGUCCCUGUCUCUUAUAC
rnacentral:rRNA from 1 species